rnacentral:rRNA from 1 species
AGUCCUACGGGGCGCAGCAGUGAGGAAUAUUGGUCAAUGGGCGGAAGCCUGAACCAGCCAAGUCGCGUGAGGGAAUAAGGCCCUACGGGUCGUAAACCUCUUUUGCCGGGGAGCAAGGGCGGGGACGUGUCCCGGCCCGGAGAGUACCCGGAGAAAAAGCAUCGGCUAACUCCGUGCCAGCAGCCGCGGUAAUACGGAGGGGGCAAGCGUUGUUCGGAAUUACUGGGCGUAAAGGGUGUGUAGGCGGGGAAGAAA